rnacentral:lncRNA from 1 species
ACUACUACUACUACUCCCACAGCAUUGCCAAUUCCCUUUCAUUCUAUCGAAAAACCCAAAAAGUCGAAUCUAUAAUCGAAGAGGGUAAAACGUAGCUCGCCGCUAGCGCUGGGGCUGGAGUCAAACGAGGGCGCCCCAACCCUCCGACCAGAAAACAAAGUGAAACAAUCACGCAAUUAAAAAUUAAAUAAAACAAAAAACAACCACAUACUAGUAUUACUGCAUAGAAAUUA